UACGGGAGGCAGCAGUAGGGAAUCUUCGGCAAUGGACGAAAGUCUGACCGAGCAACGCCGCGUGAGUGAAGAAGGUUUUCGGAUCGUAAAACUCUGUUGGUAGAGAAGAACGUUGGUGAGAGUGGAAAGCUCAUCAAGUGACGGUAACUACCCAGAAAGGGACGGCUAACUACGUGCCAGCAGCCGCGGUAAUACGUAGGUCCCGAGCGUUGUCCGGAUUUAUUGGGCGUAAAGCGAGCGCAGGUGGUUUAUUAAGUCUGGUGUAAAAGGCAGUGGCUCAACCAUUGUAUGCAUUGGAAACUGGUAGACUUGAGUGCAGGAGAGGAGAGUGGAAUUCCAUGUGUAGCGGUGAAAUGCGUAGAUAUAUGGAGGAACACCGGUGGCGAAAGCGGCUCUCUGGCCUGUAACUGACACUGAGGCUCGAAAGCGUGGGGAGCAAACAGGAUUAGAUACCCUGGUAGUCCACGCCGUAAACGAUGAGUGCUAGAUGUAGGGAGCUAUAAGUUCUCUGUAUCGCAGCUAACGCAAUAAGCACUCCGACUGGGGAGUACGACCGCAAGGUUGAAACUUCAAAUGAAUUGACGGAAGGGC
rnacentral:rRNA from 1 species